GCCUGGCUGGCUCAGCUGGUAGAGCAUGUGGCUCUUAAUCUCAAGUUUGUAUGUUCAAGGCCCAUGCUGGGUG
rnacentral:tRNA from 1 species